CAUCAGCGGAAGAACGAAGACUCAAUUAACAUAAACGGGAAACCAGAGAAGUCAUCCAAACGGAAAGAAAAUUCAUCAAAAACCACUUAUUAAUUUUUGUUAAGCUUUUAAAAUUGAUGCCCAUAUACAAAAAUGGUGAUUUGUCCCCAACAAGAGCCCAUCCCUGACCCUGACCACACCAAGUACCUACAUAAUACUUAAACUGAUUUCCAACAUUGUUUCAACUUCGUAGCUGAACAACAAUAAAAGGAUUUAAUUACUCUUUGAAUCGUCUAAGCAAUCCGACAUUACCACAAAAUGUCCUUCCGCAAUUAAAAAUUAAAUAAAACUUUCUCAAAAAAGUGAUUUGCUGAAUUGGAAGAUAUUCAGAACUUCAUGAUUUAGUAUAUACAAAAAUGUUGUUGUAAUCUCAUGGGAGGGGAAUGAGGGUUGCCUGCCAAAAUAAAAUAGAAAAUGAAAUUGACCAUUUUCCUGUCCGGAAAAUUCCAAUAAAAUAAAAGUAAAUUGAAUGCGACAAUGAGCGAGUUUCGUUCGGUUUUUGUGGAAGUGAAGGUAUUUACUUACUUACAGCGACAGCCAGAUAAUAAUAAGCACAAUGGAAAUGAAUAUAGAAGAGCCGUCGAAAACGUUUCGGAUAAACUGUCUUCCUCUGUCAGGCAGAUUUCGAUUUUUUUGACUACAAAAGAACCGAAAUUGAAAAAAAGAACAAAAUGAAUAAAAACACAGGAGGACAUCGGUUGAGUUUUUCUUUAUUAAAUUGAAAAUCCCUCUCUCUUCUUUGCAAUGUGGAUAGAAAUAUCCAACAUUUGAAACAAGUACGAAGACCACAAAUGGCUGGAAUAUUUAAAUCAACUUGAGUUUAUAAAUAUUCAGAUAUUGAGGGUUUGCUGCAUUCGGUGUUUGUGUAACUUUGAAGUUGUGAAGGAAGGAGAGUGGUCGCGUGAAUUUUUUU